rnacentral:rRNA from 1 species
UCGACUUGGAGGUUGUGCCCUUGAGGCGUGGCUUCCGGAGCUAACGCGUUAAGUCGACCGCCUGGGGAGUACGGCCGCAAGGUUAAAACUCAAAUGAAUUGACGGGGGCCCGCACGAGCGGUGGAGCAUGUGGUUUAAUUCGAUGCAACGCGAAGAACCUUACCUACUCUUGACAUCCAGAGAACUUUCCAGAGAUGGAUUGGUGCCUUCGGGAACUCUGAGACAGGUGCUGCAUGGCUGUCGUCAGCUCGUGUUGUGAAAUGUUGGGUUAAGUCCCGCAACGAGCGCAACCCUUAUCCUUUGUUGCCAGCGGUUAGGCCGGGAACUCAAAGGAGACUGCCGUUGAUAAAGCGGAGGAAGGUGGGGACGACGUCAAGUCAUCAUGGCCCUUACGACCAGGGCUACACACGUGCUACAAUGGCGUAUACAAAGGGAUGCGACCUCGCGAGAGCAAGCGGACCUCAUAAAGUACGUCUAAGUCCGGAUUGGAGUCUGCAACUCGACUCCAUGAAGUCGGAAUCGCUAGUAAUCGUGAAUCAGAAUGUCACGGUGAAUACGUUCCCGGGCCU